GGCUUCUGGACAGUACUGACGCUGAGAUGCGAAAGCGUGGGGAGCAAACAGGAUUAGAUACCUGGUAGUCCACGCUGUAAACGAUGUCGAUUUGGAGUUUGUUGCCUAGAGUGAUGGGCUCCGAGGCUAACGCGAUAAAUCGACCGCCUGGGGAGUACGGCCGCAAGGUUAAAACUCAAAUGAAUUGACGGGGGCCCGCACAAGCGGUGGAGCAUGUGGCUUAAUUCGAUGCAACGCGAAGAACCUUACCUGGUCUUGACAUCCAUAGAAUUCUGCAGAGAUGUGGGAGUGCCUUCGGGAACUAUGAGACAGGUGCUGCAUGGCUGUCGUCAGCUCGUGUUGUGAAAUGUUGGGUUAAGUCCCGCAACGAGCGCAACCCUUAUUCUUUGUUGCCAGCGAUUUGGUCGGGAACUCAAAGGAGACUGCCGUUGAUAAAGCGGAGGAAGGUGGGGACGACGUCAAGUCAUCAUGGCCCUUACGACCAGGGCUACACACGUGCUACAAUGGCGUAUACAAAGGGAAGCGAAGGUGCGAGCUGGAGCGGAUCUCAUAAAGUACGUCUAAGUUCGGAUUGGAGUCUGCAACUCGACUCCAUGAAGUCGGAAUCGCUAGUAAUCGUAGAUCAGAAUGCUACGGUGAAUACGUUCCCGGGCCUUGUACACACCGCCCGUCACACCAUGGGAGUGGGUUGCACCAGAAGUAGAUAGCUUAACCGCGAGGGGGGCGUUUACCACGGUGUGAUUCAUGACUGGGGUGAAGUCGUAACAAGGUAACCA
rnacentral:rRNA from 1 species